UCAGGACGAACGCUGGCGGCGUGCCUAAUACAUGCAAGUCGAACGGUCUUUUCUAUGGAAGCUUGCUUCCACUGAGAAGAUAGUGGCGAACGGGUGAGUAACACGUGGGUAACCUGCCCAUAAGAGGGGGGAUAACAUCCGGAAACGGGUGCUAAUACCGCAUAGUUUUCUUGAUCGCAUGAUCGGGAAAGGAAAGACGGCCUUUGUGCUGUCGCUUAUGGAUGGACCCGCGGCGUAUUAGUUAGUUGGUGAGGUAACGGCUCACCAAGACGAUGAUACGUAGCCGACCUGAGAGGGUGAUCGGCCACAUUGGGACUGAGACACGGCCCAAACUCCUACGGGAGGCAGCAGUAGGGAAUCUUCCGCAAUGGACGAAAGUCUGACGGAGCAACGCCGCGUGAGUGAAAGAAGGUUUUCGGAUCGUAAAACUCUGUUGUCAGAGAAGAACAAGUUGGAGAGUAACUGCUCCAGCCUUGACGGUAUCUGACCAGAAAGCCACGGCUAACUACGUGCCAGCCGCCGC
rnacentral:rRNA from 1 species